rnacentral:rRNA from 1 species
CAGUAGCCGCGGUAAUACAGAUGGUGCGAGCGUUAAUCGGAUUUACUGGGCGUAAAGCGUGCGUAGGCGGCUUUUUAAGUCGGAUGUGAAAUCCCUGAGCUUAACUUAGGAAUUGCAUUCGAUACUGGGAAGCUAGAGUAUGGGAGAGGAUGGUAGAAUUCCAGGUGUAGCGGUGAAAUGCGUAGAGAUCUGGAGGAAUACCGAUGGCGAAGGCAGCCAUCUGGCCUAAUACUGACGCUGAGGUACGAAAGCAUGGGGAGCAAACAGGAUUAGAUACCCCCGUAGUCCCUGUCUCUUAUAC